UGUGAUUAUUAUUAUUACUAUUGUUUGUUGUUGUUGUUAUUGUUGUGAAAUUCCUUCACCAGCAUUGUAGUGCUUCUCAUUAUUUAGAUGUGCGUUGCCGUGGAAUCAAUUCUCAGAGACACAUAUAAAUUACUGUUUAACGAGACGCCAUAUUCCAUAAAUUAUUCAAAACACCUGGGAUUACAAUAUGAGAUCAAAUGAUAGGAAAGAAAGAGUACUCUGCUGGAGGCAGCGUGAACACCAGCCAUCACACUCUCGUUUUGAUGUUAAAUAAGGCAGUCGCUCGGCGAGCUGCUCAGACAGGAAUAAUUGAAAGAAAAAGAGAGCACACACUCUGCAAAAGCAGCUCGGUGCAUCAGAAGUGUCUUCUGUAAUGCCAGCUCGCCCACAGAACUGAAAGAAUUACGAACGAAACGUGUGGAAAAAGCUCGCCUGCUGAUGUGAGCAAGGGGAAUGAGUCGAAGAUGCAAUUUUGCACCUGCGUCAAUGACGACCGCAGAGACAUACGGUGGAGAAGGGGACGCAGAUGAGCUCUGACCCUAAACGGUCAUUAACGGGUUCUCAGAAUAUUCAGCUCGGGAAGAAACAGGUACGUCUACUUUUGAACUGCCACAAACUUCACAGUUUAAGUGCAGCCAGUUACAGUUUAAGUAGCUGUAAGUGCAGCUCUUAUGGUAAAGUAACAAGUGCAGGACAAAGGUCACAUCUAGUAGGUGGGAAACCACAACUCCAACUAAAGCAGUGCUCUGUAGAAGUUCCCCCACCGGAACUUUGAAGUUGUAAAUGGCAUUUACUUCUUGAGAAGGGGGAUAGACCCAUUUGAACAUUUCACAUUGUAUCAACAAACAAAAUGAAAAUAGUUUACAGUUUUCAUAUUGUAUUGUUAGAAUAUAUUUAAAAUGUUGAAAGGACAACUCCGGUGUGAAAGAGUCUUGAGGUGUAGUGAAUAGCAUAGCUCCGUUCACUGCCAGCAUUCCAAAAUACAGUGCUUGCUUUAAGCUGAUGCUCCCCACAGGCUUACAGUGCAAGCAAUAAGGGCAUAGUUUUACCCAUGCAAAUAAAUCUCAUUUUUUCACCAUUAACAAGCUCAAAGUAACUCCAUGCUUCAUUGGUAGAAUUCUGAGAGUCUUGAUAUUUAAAACGAGGCACUGAGACCUAAUAGUUUAUCAAAAACACUGUUUAUACACACAGUACUAUGAAAUAGUUCUCUAGGC